rnacentral:rRNA from 1 species
GAUGAACGCUGGCGGCGUGCCUAAUACAUGCAAGUCGAGCGAACAGACGAGGAGCUUGCUCCUCUGACGUUAGCGGCGGACGGGUGAGUAACACGUGGAUAACCUACCUAUAAGACUGGGAUAACUUCGGGAAACCGGAGCUACUACCGGAUAAUAUAUUGAACCGCAUGGUUCAAUAGUGAAAGACUGUUUUGCUGUCACUUAUAGAUGGAUCCGCGCCGCAUUAGCUAGUUGGUAAGGUAACGGCUUACCAAGGCAACGAUGCGUAGCCGACCUGAGAGGGUGAUCGGCCACACUGGAACUGAGACACGGUCCAGACUCCUACGGGAGGCAGCAGUAGGGAAUCUUCGGCAAUGGGCGAAAGCCUGACGGAGCAACGCCGCGUGAGUGAUGAAGGUCUUCGGAUCGUAAAACUCUGUUAUUAGGGAAGAACAAAUGUGUAAGUAACUAUGCACGUCUUGACGGUACCUAAUCAGAAAGCCACGGCUAACUACGUG